AGUAGCCGCGGGAAUACGGAGGGUGCAAGCGUUAAUCGGAAUUACUGGGCGUAAAGCGCACGCAGGCGGUCUGACAAGUCAGAUGUGAAAUCCCCGGGCUUAACCUGGGAACUGCAUUUGAAACUGUCAGGCUGGAGUCUUGUAGAGGGGGGUGGAAUUCCAGGUGUAGCGGUGAAAUGCGUAGAGAUCUGGAGGAAUACCGGUGGCGAAGGCGGCCCCCUGGACAAAGACUGACGCUCAGGUGCGAAAGCGUGGGGAGCAAACAGGAUUAGAUACCCGCGUAGUCCCUGUCUCUUAUACA
rnacentral:rRNA from 1 species